UACGAAGGGGGCUAGCGUUGCUCGGAAUCACUGGGCGUAAAGCGCACGUAGGCGGAUUGCUAAGUCAGGGGUGAAAUCCUGGAGCUCAACUCCAGAACUGCCUUUGAUACUGGCAACCUUGAGUCCGGGAGAGGUGAGUGGAACUGCGAGUGUAGAGGUGAAAUUCGUAGAUAUUCGGAAGAACACCAGUGGCGAAGGCGACUGACUGGACAAGUAUUGACGCUGAGGUGCGAAAGCGUGGGGAGCAAACAGG
rnacentral:rRNA from 1 species